GGAAUAUUGGGCAAUGGCCGAGAGGCUGACCCAGCCAUGCCGCGUGCAGGAAGAAGGCCUUCUGGGUUGUAAACUGCUUUUAUAUAGGAAGAAAACGCCUUUGCGAAGGGAACUGACGGGACUAUAUGAAUACGCACCGGCUAACCCCGUGCCAGCAGCCGCGGUAAUACGGAGGGUGCAAGCGUUGUCCGGAUUUAUUGGGUUUAAAGGGUGCGUAGGCGGCCCGUUAAGUCAGCGGUGAAAUCCCACGGCUCAACCGUGGAACUGCCGUUGAUACUGGCGGGCUUGAGUUCGGUCGAGGCGGGCGGAAUUGGUGGUGUAGCGGUGAAAUGCAUAGAUACCACCAAGAACCCCGAUUGCGUAGGCAGCUCGCUGGGCCGAAACUGACGCUGAGGCACGAAAGCGUGGGGAGC
rnacentral:rRNA from 1 species